rnacentral:rRNA from 1 species
GACGUAGGGCGCGAGCGUUGUCCGGAUUUAUUGGGCGUAAAGAGCUCGUAGGCGGCCUGUCGCGUCUGCUGUGAAAUCCCGGGGCUUAACCCCGGGCGUGCAGUGGGUACGGGCAGACUAGAGUGCGGUAGGGGAGACUGGAAUUCCUGGUGUAGCGGUGAAAUGCGCAGGAUAUCAGGAGGAACACCGGUGGCGAAGGCGGGUCUCUGGGCCGUAACUGACGCUGAGGAGCGAAAGCGUGGGGAGCGAACAGG